AGAGUUUGAUCAUGGCUCAGGAUAAACGCUGGCGGCGCACAUAAGACAUGCAAGUCGAACGGACUUAAUACCUUGCUUGCAAGGUAAGCGGUUAGUGGCGGACUGGUGAGUAACACGUAAGAAAUCUGCCUAUCAGAGGGGAAUAACAGUGAGAAAUCAUUGCUAAUACCGCAUAUGCCAUAUUUAUCGCAUGAUAGAAGUGGGAAAGGAGAAAUCCGCUGAUAGAUGAGCUUGCGGCUGAUUAGCUAGUUGGUGGGGUAAAGGCCUACCAAGGCGACGAUCAGUAGCCGGACUGAGAGGUUGAACGGCCACAUUGGGACUGAGAUACGGCCCAGACUCCUACGGGAGGCAGCAGUCGGGAAUAUUGCGCAAUGGAGGGAACUCUGACGCAGUGACGCCGCGUAUAGGAAGAAGGUUUUCGGAUUGUAAACUAUUGUCCACAGGGAAGAAAAAGGACAGUACCUGUGAAGAAAGCUCCGGCUAACUACGUGCCAGCAGCCGCGGUAAUACGUAGGGAGCAAGCGUUAUCCGGAAUUAUUGGGUGUAAAGGGUGCGUAGACGGGAGAACAAGUUAGUUGUGAAAACCCUCGGCUCAACUGAGGACGUGCAACUAAAACUAUUCAUCUUGAGUGCAGGAGAGGAAAGUGGAAUUCCUAGUGUAGCGGUGAAAUGCGUAGAUAUUAGGAAGAACACCGGUGGCGAAGGCGACUUUCUGGACUGUAACUGACGUUGAGGCACGAAAGUGUGGGGAGCAAACAGGAUUAGAUACCCUGGUAGUCCACACUGUAAACGAUGGAUAC
rnacentral:rRNA from 1 species